GGCUCAGGAUGAACGCUGGCGGCGUGCCUAACACAUGCAAGUCGAGCGAUUUACUUCGGUAAAGAGCGGCGGACGGGUGAGUAACGCGUGGGUAACCUGCCCUGUACACACGGAUAACAUACCGAAAGGUAUGCUAAUACGAGAUAAUAUGCUUUUAUCGCAUGGUAGAAGUAUCAAAGCUCCGGCGGUACAGGAUGGACCCGCGUCUGAUUAGCUAGUUGGUAAGGUAACGGCUUACCAAGGCGACGAUCAGUAGCCGACCUGAGAGGGUGAUCGGCCACAUUGGAACUGAGACACGGUCCAAACUCCUACGGGAGGCAGCAGUGGGGAAUAUUGCACAAUGGGCGAAAGCCUGAUGCAGCAACGCCGCGUGAGCGAUGAAGGCCUUCGGGUCGUAAAGCUCUGUCCUCAAGGAAGAUAAUGACGGUACUUGAGGAGGAAGCCCCGGCUAACUACGUGCCAGCAGCCGCGGUAAUACGUAGGGGGCUAGCGUUAUCCGGAAUUACUGGGCGUAAAGGGUGCGUAGGUGGUUUCUUAAGUCAGAGGUGAAAGGCUACGGCUCAACCGUAGUAAGCCUUUGAAACUGGGAAACUUGAGUGCAGGAGAGGAGAGUGGAAUUCCUAGUGUAGCGGUGAAAUGCGUAGAUAUUAGGAGGAACACCAGUUGCGAAGGCGGCUCUCUGGACUGUAACUGACACUGAGGCACGAAAGCGUGGGGAGCAAACAGGAUUAGAUACCCUGGUAGUCCACGCCGUAAACGAUGAGUACUAGCUGUCGGAGGUUACCCCCUUCGGUGGCGCAGCUAACGCAUUAAGUACUCCGCCUGGGAAGUACGCUCGCAAGAGUGAAACUCAAAGGAAUUGACG
rnacentral:rRNA from 1 species